rnacentral:tRNA from 1 species
AAACGGUUGGCAGAAAAAUGCAAUUGACUUAGGAUCAGUAUAUGAAGUUUUAUCCUUCACCUUUUA